UGGGGAAUAUUGCACAAUGGGCGAAAGCCUGAUGCAGCGACGCCGCGUGAGGGAUGACGGCCUUCGGGUUGUAAACCUCUUUCAGCAGGGACGAAGCGCAAGUGACGGUACCUGCAGAAGAAGCACCGGCUAACUACGUGCCAGCAGCCGCGGUAAUACGUAGGGUGCAAGCGUUGUCCGGAAUUACUGGGCGUAAAGAGUUCGUAGGCGGUUUGUCGCGUCGUUUGUGAAAACCAGCAGCUCAACUGCUGGCUUGCAGGCGAUACGGGCAGACUUGAGUACUGCAGGGGAUACUGGAAUUCCUGGUGUAGCGGUGAAAUGCGAAGAUAUCAGGAGGAACACCGGUGGCGAAGGCGGGUCUCUGGGCAGUAACUGACGCUGAGGAACGAAAGCGUGGGUAGCGAACAGG
rnacentral:rRNA from 1 species